rnacentral:sRNA from 1 species
UCAACAGCCUUAGUGACUGUAUCCAUCUGUUCAUCUAUAAAACAGGUACGGCAUGGAUGGUGGCUUUGGAAAGUUAGCCCCCCUGCCAGUGUUCCUCAAGCCCAUUUGGGAGGGACCACCUCCAAAGGGUGAGAGAGUAGUUCAGUUUCCAAGCCCAUUCACUUUUUGUUCUCU